AAAAACUUAGGAUAAAUAAACCAAAAGCCUUCAAAGCUUGAAAUAGGGAUGCAACCCCCCUAGUUUUU
rnacentral:tRNA from 1 species